AUUGAACGCUAGCGGGAUGCUUUACACAUGCAAGUCGAACGAGUGGCGGACGGGUGAGUAAUAUAUCGGAACGUGCCCAGUAGCGGGGGAUAACUACUCGAAAGAGUGGCUAAUACCGCAUACUAUUGGAGCGGCCGAUAUCGGAUUAGCUCGUUGGUGGGGUAAAGGCGCACCAAGGCAACGAUCCGUAGCUGGUUUGAGAGGACAACCACCCCCCCUGGGACUGAGACACGGCCCAUACUCCUGCCAUAUCCAUCAUUCUAAAAUUUUCUACAAUGUCGGAAACCCUGAUCCAGCCAUCCCGCGUGUAUGAGAAUUCCUUCGGGUUCUAACGUACUUUUGGCAGAGAAGCGGUAUCUGCAGAAUAAGCACCGGCUAACUACGUGCCAGCAGCCGCGGUAAUUC
rnacentral:rRNA from 1 species